GCACAAGCGGUGGAGCAUGUGGUUUAAUUCGACGCAACGCGAAAAACCUUACCUGGGUUUUGACAUGCCGAGUACCCGAUGGAAACAUUGGGGUGCCCCGUAAGGGGAACUUGGACACAGGUGCUGCAUGGCUGUCGUCAGCUCGUGCCGUGAGGUGUUGGGUUAAGUCCCGCAACGAGCGCAACCCUCACCCUUAGUUGCCAUCAUUAAGUUGGGCACCCUAAGGGAACUGCCGCAGUUAAUGCGGAGGAAGGUGGGGAUGACGUCAAGUCCUCAUGGCCCUUAUAUCCAGGGCUACACACGUGCUACAAUGGACGGUACAAAGGGUCGCGAACCUGCAAAGGGGAGCUAACCCCAGAAAACCGCUCUCAGUUCGGAUUGGAGUCUGCAACCCGACUCCAUGAAGUUGGAAUCGCUAGUAAUCGCGGAUCAGAACGCCGCGGUCGAAUACGUUCCCGGGCCUU
rnacentral:rRNA from 1 species